rnacentral:rRNA from 1 species
GAUAAACGCUGGCGGCGUGCCUAACACAUGCAAGUCGAACGAUCCCGCAAGGGAGAGUGGCGGAAGGGUGAGUAACACGUGGGAAUCUACCUCCUCGCAGGGGAACAACCUCUCGAAAGAGAGGCUAAUACCCAAAAGGGUCAGAAAUGAUCAGAGUCGAAAGGCGUGAGGAGAGGAGCCCGCGGCCCAUCAGCUAGUUGGUGAGGUAAUGGCUUACCAAGGCUACGACGGGUAGGGGAUCUGAGAGGAUGUCCCCCACACUGGAACUGAAACACGGUCCAGACGCCUACGGGUGGCAGCAGUGAGGAAUAUUGGGCAAUGGGCGAAAGCCUGACCCAGCAACGCCGCGUGGAGGAUGAAGGCUUUAGGGUUGUAAACUCCUUUUGUGGGGGAAAGAAUGGGAUGGUACCCCAAGAAUAAGUCACGGCUAACUACGUG